GGAGGUCAGAGCUCGGCGGGGUGCGGCUAGUGGCGGAGCGCGCUGCGAGGGGAGGGCUUUCCACUGUCGCUGGCGUGAACUCGCGUGCCCGGUGGGUAUCAGGGAAGAACCCCCGCCCCGGACCCCCAGAUCUGCCAUGGCCGAGGCUUCACCAGGUACUGCCUUCUAACGAGCUGGCCAUUUCCACAUGUCAGAUAGGACCAACUUGCCUUUUAACUACCCGUGUGAUACUUAAACACUGUUGCCGGUAUCACAGCUUUUCUUCAAAACAGGAAGCAACGAGAAUGAGGGCAUUCCAGUAGCAGGAGACAGCAUGCAUAGAGAUGCUGAUGAAGAAAGAGCCUAGCGCACGUGGGAAACUGCAAAAGUUCAGACUGGUUGGAAUGCUGGAAAUGUUGUGAAUGACAGGAGAUGAGGCUGGCGAGAAAACAGAGGUCAGAUUGUGGAAGGCUGUCAAGCCAAAGACUUUGAUUUUAUUCUUGAGAUUGAUGAGAUGUGUGUAAUCCAGGAGUGUGCAAAACAAUCUGUAAGGGUUCAGAAAACAUACUGCUUCUAUAUAUAGUUACCUUUGUCUUAACUUGAAAAUUUCAAAUUGUGUAGGAGUUACAAUGUGUGUAAUUGUUAUUAUAGUACUGGAUCCAAAUAAUUUAUAAAUAAAUAAAUAUAGACAUAAUAUGGUGUAUUACAGGUUAAA
rnacentral:lncRNA from 1 species